UUUUCAUGACAACCCAACACGGUGAUUCCAGAACUUCUUUUGAUUGUGAUGCUUAAAAAUGAGGGAACAGGCACAUGCGACCUGUUGGAGUGUUUUUAUCUGUUUUCCAGUGAAUGAGCCAUCCACCCACCUGUGAAAUUCCCUCAUUCUGACUUUUCAAGCUCUUUACACCACUGCACUGCAGGGGUGCUUCAAGAUGUGGCACCUACAGCGUCAAAAUUAAAAGUAUUUGCUGCAUUGGGAGUGUGAACGAGCUGCUGAUGAUGCCAAAUGGUAGUGAGGGGAAACUCUGUGAGUCCAGGAUAACUACGGAGUAAUGUCAGUGUGUUUUAGCCUGGCCAGCCUGUGAUGUUUUACACCACAGAGACCAGAGAGGAGAAAGAUAUUAGACCGGUACAGAAGUCGUGGAGGCCACUCAGUCAGCCAGUCAAUUAAUCAGUGUAACGACAAACUGCAGGAAAAAGCGAUAUGAGGUCCAACAGCACAGCGAGGAAACACCUGCCCUCCCCUGAGAGAAAUCAUGUGGCCGUGAAGCAGCGAAAGAUGAAGA